UACGGGGGGGGUAAGCGUUGUUCGGAAUUACUGGGCGUAAAGGGCUCGUAGGCGGCCAACUAAGUCAGACGUGAAAUCCCUCAGCUUAACUGGGGAACUGCGUCUGAUACUGGAUGGCUUGGAUUCGGGAGAGGAAUGCGGAAUUCCUGGUGUAGCGGUGAAAUGCGCAGAUAUCAGGAGGAACACCGGUGGCGAAGGCGGGUCUCUGGGCCGAUACUGACGCUGAGGAGCGAAAGCGUGGGGAGCGAACAGG
rnacentral:rRNA from 1 species